AUAAAUAGUAAACUUCAUCUGUAAUGGAGACACUUCACAUGGCUAUUUGUAUUUGCUAUUGGCUAUUUGUUGUAUUUGACAACAUUAUUGACGAAUACGCAAACAAG